UACGUAGGGUGCGAGCGUUGUCCGGAAUUAUUGGGCGUAAAGGGCGCGUAGGCGGCUUUGCAAGUGGCGGGUGAAAUCCCUCGGCUUAACCGAGGAACUGCCUGUCAAACUGCAUGGCUUGAGACCAGGAGAGGUGAGUGGAAUUCCCAGUGUAGCGGUGAAAUGCGUAGAUAUUGGGAGGAACACCAGUGGCGAAGGCGGCUCACUGGCCCGAUACUGACGCUGAGGCACGAAAGCGUGGGGAGCAAACAGG
rnacentral:rRNA from 1 species